UACGUAGGGCGCAAGCGUUUGUCCGGAAUUAUUGGGCGUAAAGAGCUCGUAGGCGGCUUGUCACGUCGGGUGUGAAAGCCCGGGGCUUAACCCCGGGUCUGCAUUCGAUACGGGCUAGCUAGAGUGUGGUAGGGGAGAUCGGAAUUCCUGGUGUAGCGGUGAAAUGCGCAGAUAUCAGGAGGAACACCGGUGGCGAAGGCGGAUCUCUGGGCCAUUACUGACGCUGAGUGGGCGAAAGCCAGGGGAGCAAACGGGG
rnacentral:rRNA from 1 species